AAAGCAGGAAUGGCAGAAAUUUGACUUUUAGAACCCAAACCAUUCUGCUAUUUGCUCUCUGCUUGUCCUGCCUUCCUUACAGAAACAGCUGAUGGAAGCCUGCAGAUUCUUGGAGAAGGCCAGGGAGGACAUUGUCUCACAGAUAUGCUCCCCGACUCCCUUGGCAAAGAUUCUUGAGGUCAUCGGGGAAACAAAAGAGUUGUCAUACUCAUGUCAUUGGUGUGCUUUGGUCCAGAAGCCUAGUGACCUCCGCCGGCCAUGUGUUCUCAACAUGUAUCUACCCAAGAAUGCACCUGUCAGCCUUAGCAGGGAGAACAAAAGCUUGAGUUUGACAAGAGAAGGACAGCUAAGGAGCAGCCCUGGCCCAUCUGCCAAGCGGCAUUCCUGAGCGAGCAGAGAGGCAGCCUGGAAGACACGCACACAAACUACUUAAAAGAAGUCUUUCAUCCAGGCAAGAGGGGAUCAACACAUCUGUAUGGCAUUGAUCCCUCCUUUUGGAUGGGAUUUGGCUCCGAGCUGGGGUGGGGGCAGUCACACCUCAAACAUCUGACAUGGGCUGGGCUGCCGCCAGCUUUGGGACGGGAGGAAUGCAAGGUAAAGUGCUGAGCUUAGCUUGGCUCUUCUUUCAUUUUUCAAGCAUUUUUUUUGAUUAUGAGUUGAGGCGUUUAUUAUUUGUGUGUUAUAUGCAUGUUUUUGUGUGUAUACAUGUGUGUGUGUGUGUAUGUGUGUGUGUUCAUGUAUGUGAAGGCCAAAGGUCGAUGUGGAUGUCUCCCUCUAUUGCUCCCCAAAGUCUCUUACUAACCUGCAGUUGACUGUUUCAGCUAGACACACUGUCUAGUGAGCUCUAGUCAUCCUUCUGUCUCUGCUUCUCUCAGUGCUGGGGUUGUAGGCAUAUGCAAAUGUGCCUUUUGAUUUUGUUUUUUUUAAUUUUACAGGUUGCUGGGGAUCCAAACGUAGCCCCUUUUGCUUAUGUGGCAAGCACUUUACUGACUGAACCAUCUCCCCACUCUCUGGUUCUUCUUUCUUACCAAAACCAUUUUUCCCUCCUAUAUUUUACUACCGG
rnacentral:lncRNA from 1 species